GGAAUAUUGGACAAUGGGCGCAAGCCUGAUCCAGCCAUACCGCGUGGGUGAAGAAGGCCUUCGGGUUGUAAAGCCCUUUUGUUGGGAAAGAAAUCCAGCCGGCUAAUACCUGGUUGGGAUGACGGUACCCAAAGAAUAAACACCGGCUAACUUCGUGCCAGCAGCCGCGGUAAUACAAAGGGUGCAAGCGUUACUCGGAAUUACUGGGCGUAAAGCGUGCGUAGGUGGUCGUUUAAGUCCGUUGUGAAAGCCCUGGGCUCAACCUGGGAACUGCAGUGGAUACUGGGCGACUAGAGUGUGGUAGAGGGUAGCGGAAUUCCUGGUGUAUCAGUGAAAUGCGUAGAGAUCAGGAGGAACAUCCAUGGCGAAUGCAGCUACCUGGACCAACACUGACACUGAUGCACGAAAGCGUGGGGAGCAAA
rnacentral:rRNA from 1 species